rnacentral:rRNA from 1 species
UACGGAGGGAGCUAGCGUUAUUCGGAAUUACUGGGCGUAAAGCGCACGUAGGCGGCUUUGUAAGUUAGAGGUGAAAGCCUGGAGCUCAACUCCAGAAUUGCCUUUAAGACUGCAUCGCUUGAAUCCAGGAGAGGUGAGUGGAAUUCCGAGUGUAGAGGUGAAAAUUCGUAGAUAUUCGGAAGAACACCAGUGGCGAAGGCGGCUCACUGGACUGGUAUUGACGCUGAGGUGCGAAAGCGUGGGGAGCAAACAGG